rnacentral:lncRNA from 1 species
AAAGAUGUAAUGUGCUUCUCUCUCUUGAAAGAUGUAAUGUGCUUCUCUCUCUUGAAAGAACACCUAACGCACAGCGGAACAAGAACAAGGGUGCAACUCGUCUCGAGUCAAGUAGGUGUCUCAUCUCAGGGCAAGGGAAGAAUUCUAAGCUGGGGCAGGAAAGUGGGCUAAAUCAUUUCUAUCUAUCGAACUUCGACAACACUAGUACCAACACGAGUACCAACCUCUGAUCUUAGUGCCUAAGCUUGUUUCAACUCAACAUAACUUCUCAGAUCUUGAUUCCCUUGCUUCAACACACUGCCCUGCCCGGUACGCAAUUCAUUCUAUUACUUGUUCCGUCUUUUUUGGCCUAGACUAGACUUCACUCCUACAGCGUAAGAUACUUUACCUCUUUUGAUCCUGACUUUUGUUUGCACAGCCUCUUAAUAGGAUUCCACUUGGCCAUUAGUCGUAGCUUGUCCCCUCUCAAUAGGUAUUAAUUGUAGAAUCUAGUAGAUAUCCUAAUAUAGAAUCUAGUAUAUAUCCUAAUAGGAGUCAGGAUAGUUAGAAUGUCCUUUCCUUAAUAAGGAGGCUCUCCAGGGAGGACCAUUUCUUUCUUUUAAAGCAGUAUCAAGCAUUCGGAAUCAGAUUCAAUCAGAAUGCACACCUUUGUCCAAGGCAGCUAACAAUCCUGCUCUCACUGCUGCUGCUUCCAGGUAUAGCACACUCCAGCUUUGAAGAAACCAUCAACCAGCCAAGAAAGUAUCACCAGUAUGCAGAUAUCUAAGAACAUAUCAAGCAACCAGCCAAGAAAGUAUCACCGGAUCUAAUAACAUAUAAAGAAACCAGCCUGCAAAGAAAGUCAGUAUCACAAGUAUCGGAGGAUCUAAGAACAUAUCAAGCAACCAAACCAUUCAAUAUAGAGUAGUAGAAUUACCCAUCACAAUGAAGUUGAAACCAACCAGCAGACGGUUUGACCAUUUCAUUUGUAAGGGAUUCCCUAGAACCUGGCGACUAGAAGUUAUCCUCAUGAAGCAUAGGGCAAGCAAUAGUUCCAUAAAUCAGGCACGCACAUUGUAUAGUAUCAUUGGAAUCAGUUGGAUAGCAUCAUCAUUCCUAGCUCUCCAUUCCUAGCUCUAAAAAUAUACCAGAAACUAGUAACAUUAAUCUUAUACUGAUAAAGAGAAGCAUCCCGUCGUCUAUCAUUAGAAGGCCCCUUAUCCAAUCACAUUCAAUAGCACCAACCAAGAAAGGAUUGGAAUCGGACAUCUAAAUGAAGCGGAAAUGAAUCCCAGGACAUCUAAAUGAAGCUGAAAGAAAUCCCACACUGUAUAGGAGAAGGAGGAUUGAGAAAAUGGAUGAUCAAAAGAAAGACUCAGAAAGAGAACUAUAUAAUGGGCACGCAGCAGCAUACAAAAUGCCCAUAGAAGCAAAUAAGUAAGACAGGUGCAAAAGCAUCCAUCCAUCCUACAAUCAGUCAGACAAGGGUGGCGGCGAGGCGGCGGUGCAAAAGCAUCUAUCCUCAGAACUUAGAGGAAUGAUUGGGAGCUUCCACAAACAACGCCAUCGAUCCCCAAUAACGACUAGGGCCUAUAAGUUAGGAAAGGAGUCAAGUAUCCGGAGACAUGGUAUAAACCCUUUGCCAUCACCCCUUUGCCAUCAGGUUUCUCAAAGUUCUAUCAUUAGGCUCUAAGGGAAUGUCUAUUCGACAAAUUAGAUCACACAUAUGUUGCCCGCUAAUACAUAUGGUCUUUCAUCCACAGUCGCUGAAUCAUCAAAGUGGAGAAACCAUAGAAUUCGAAUAUCUUUGAUUAAUCGAUUUUGGAAGUAGGUUGGACAGAAGCUAGUGGAAUGGAAUGGAAGAUUUGGAAGACAACUAUCAUUGAUUAUUAACCGAAUCCCCUUUAUAAAGAAUUGGAGAAUAACCACAACGAAGAGAAAACGGAGCCCUGACCCUUAAGCCUCCAACACUAACUGUGUUUAUUAUAUUGAUUGAUCUACAAAGGCAAGUUAUAACGAUCUACAAAGGCAAGUUAUAACUGUGUUUAUUAUAUUGAUUGAUCUACAAAGCUAGUUUACAAUCCGACUAUUUUGCCAAGACCACACGAACCCCAAAACUAUUUAGAUUGAUUUAGGUAUUGGAAAACACUUUGACCUUGAAGAGCAUAUUGGGGAAUAUGGAAGUCCCGCUAUUCCUAAACCACCAACCCCAUUUGGGAAGAGUUACAGUCUCUCAAGAAAGUCAAUGUAGUCCAUUAGAUUGAUUCCCUCUUUAGUCAAUGUAGUCCAUUAGAUUGAUUCCCUCUUGACUAUAUAUAUAUCAAUAGAAUUCCCCCAAUAUUUCGAUUCUUAAUAAUAAUGGAAUUAGUUAGCCAAGAGAGAAACACAGAGUAUUUAAAGGCAAUGAGUUAAUCAGCACAA